CGCAGACAGCACAAAGGAAACGAGGCAAGAAUGAUGCAGAUAGCACAAGGGCACAAUUCAUAUUGUGAAUCUCAUGGACAGGAUGUGGAAUGUGAGAGAGGGAGAAACCCAGGACACCUCUAAGGUGGAUGGUCCACAUAAGCACAAGUGGAAUAAAGAAGUCUAUCAUGGAACACUGGGGUGGAGGGCCUGAGGUGGAGGGGAAUCAUUUUGUUUCUAUAAGUUAAAUUUGAGAUGUCCAUUAGACACAGAAGUGAAAAGAUAACACCGAAGGUUCAACCAGGAGUGGACUCAGGUAGGGGAUCCUAGGCAGUGAGGUCACUUCUUUGACAACAGAGCCCAACAGAACUUGGAACCCCUGCAACCAGGCACCCACAUUCUAGUGCAGCCCCACAUCAGGCUCACUUGGCUGGAGACAUCCGCUAGUGAAAGAUGUUCUCUUGCUGCGUGCCAACUUCCCGGGGUUCUGGCUUCCAGAAACCCCAGGGAUGCGGCUUUUUCAAAUGCUGUAGACUUUGGUUCCACCGUCACACCCCUCGCCUCAAGGCAUUUGCCAGGAGGCGCCCUAAGGGACCUGCGCUGUCCAAACCCAUGAAGUUUUGGUGGGACUGCUAAUCACAGGUCUUCACACCCUCCUGAUCACAGUGGCCACUCUUGCUCCAGGACAUGAGUGUGGAGCAAAGCCACACAGGCAGGCAGUUGAAGCUGUUUCUCAAAAAGCAAGCCUUUCCUGAAUUCCUAGAGGUGGCCUGACUACUCCUCUUCCCGACCUGUGAGGUAUCCUUUCUCCUUCAAGUAUGUGAGUACCCCCCAGCAUCCUUUCAAAAAUCCAUUCCUCUUGCUUUCAGACACUAUUUCUGCAACCUAAAAUCAAAGCACCCUGAUACAAAGGAAAAUGGAAACAUACUCAAAAAUGUGCACUGAUUUUUUGUUUUCAAAUGACUAGAGAAAAGGUAGGAAUGAAAAUUUUAUAAUGAAACUCAGGACUAGAUAUGCUAAAAGGGAACAAUAGGUCUCUUACAAAGAAUGAAGGGGUCAGUGAGAGAGAAUCCUGCCUGAG
rnacentral:lncRNA from 1 species